UCUGUCUGUGAUGAUCUACCUGUUUCGAGGUUAAGGAUCAUGCGAAAACUCACAUGCACUACCAUCCGAGACACA